rnacentral:rRNA from 1 species
GACGAACGCUGGCGGCGUGCUUAACACAUGCAAGUCGAACGGGCCCGCUCUCUUUUUUGGGGGUGGGUUGAGUGGCGAACGGGUGAGUAUCACGUGAGUAACCUGCCCCCUGCUCCUGGAUAACUGCUUGAAAGGGCGGCUAAUACGGGGUGUGCCGGCUGGUCCGCAUGGGCCUGGUCGGGAUAGUUUCAUCUUCGGGUGUUUCGGUGGGGGAUGGGCUCGCGGCCUAUCAGCUUGUUGGUGGGGUGAUGGCCCACCAAGGCGGUGACGGGCAGCCGGCCUGAGAGGGUGGGCGGCCACACUGGGACUGAGACACGGCCCAGACUCCUGCGGGAGGCAGCAGUGGGGGGUAUUGCACAAUGGGCGGAAGCCUGAUGCAGCGACGUCGCGUGAGGGAUGGAGGCCUUCGGGUUGUGAACCUCUUUCUCCGGUGGUGAAGGCCCUGUCCGUUGCGGCGGGGUUGACGGUAGCCGGGUAUGAAGCGCCGGCUAACUACGUG